UUUGCGACGCGUGUUAAGAACAUCGCGCAUACGCUGAUCGAUAUCUACUACACCACCAUCAUCAUCUUCUGCAACAACGUACAACCGAUCGCUCUGUCGUGUCAACAGUUUUGCCACAGAUUCUUGAAUGGUUCCGUUUUCCGAAAUCGUCACUUCUACAGGUGGGGUUAGAAUCAGGGUGUUGAGCGUGUCCGUUAUGUUGAUUCUCUUUUUCAAGUAACUUAACAGUUUGAUGAGAGAAGCCAAUCUUACGUGCUUGUGCUUGAAUCUGUCAACAUUGGAGAGUAACACAGCGUAAUAUGUUGACAAUUCAUCCAUAGCUUGUUCAGAAUAUGCAGUUCUAGGUUCAUUAACAAGACUAGGAGGUACGACCGUAGCCGUAGUAUUUGUGUUAGUUGCAACAUUUUCUUCGUCUAAUUUUCUCUUCUUAGACUGCACCGCCGUCAGACAAUCAGUCGUUGAUUUGGCUUUCAUCGUCUUGUGAUCGGAUAUAGCUAUUACAUUACCAAUGUUAUUUCUGAUAAAAGAUUUCAUGGAGUGAAUCAAGGAAAAGUUAUCCAAGGAUUUCCUGUAACUUUGAGUACAUUUGUAUUUGUGUUAGUGUUACAGAUGGUACAGUACUGGGACGCGACGUGUUUCACUUGCGGAUUUGUGCUUGUCCGACACGAGAUUUAAAGACAGACGAACAAGCUAACUCUAAGAAGAGAAGAUUAAAACGCAAAAGAUAUUCAACUGAGACUCAGAUCGCAAAAAUACCAAAACUAGUUGACCCAGAGCCUCAUGUGUCCAACUUAAAUGAAGUUUACAACAUUAAGGUAGUUGGACGUCAGUUGUACUUGUUCAUGAUGAAGAUCAUGCAGUUUUACUCCAGCACCCACCUGAACAUUCCUGACGCUCCAUGUCAACAAAACGAAAACACGAUGGUACACCAAGAGCAGGAUGUGCUCAUGAGAAACAUGUAUUCUAAUAAUCUGAAGAAGCUCAAAGAAAAGCUGAAGAACUUGAGAGAAGAAAGCAAACAGGGGAGUGAGCAGAAAAGCAUCGAAAUUAUAGAAAUAGAAAGCCCAGAAAACUCAGAAAAAGAAAAACAGGGAAGCCCAGAAAAUACAGAAAAAGGAAACACUAAAAAAAAGAAAACAAUCCUAUAGAAGAAUAACUAAACCUAAUCAAAGACAACAACCCUAUAGAAGAGCCACUAAACCUAAUCAAAGAUAACAAACCUGUAUCAUUACGUACGGUGAAAAGAAACAAACCAUAUCGUCACAUUCCAUUUGUACAUGUCACAAGGGAAC